CUACGGGAGGCUGCAGUGAGGAAUAUUGCACAAUGGGGGGAACCCUGAUGCAGCAACGCCGCGUGGAGGAUGACGCAUUUCGGUGUGUAAACUCCUUUUAUAUGUCAAGAAAAUGACGGUAGCAUAUGAAUAAGCACCGGCUAACUCCGUGCCAGCAGCCGCGGUAAUACGGAGGGUGCAAGCGUUACUCGGAAUCACUGGGCGUAAAGGACGCGUAGGCGGGUUGGAAAGUCGGGUGUGAAAUCCUACAGCUUAACUGUAGAACUGCACUUGAAACUUCUAAUCUAGAGUAUGGGAGGGGGAGAUGGAAUUAAUGGUGUAGGGGUAAAAUCCGUAGAUAUCACUAGGAAUACCUAAAGCGAAGGCGAUCUCCUGGAACAUUACUGACGCUAAGGCGUGAAAGCGUGGGGAGCAAACAGGAUUAGAUACCCUUGUAGUC
rnacentral:rRNA from 1 species